CUCUUCCAAUGAUGCCUAGCACUGGGCUCUGAAAUCAAUGAGCGAUAAGUGUGCCCCUCUGUGACAUGACACACAGUGGGACUGAGGGGCAG